rnacentral:miRNA from 8 species
CUUUCUGUGGUCGUCGUGUAAGG